CAUUCAUACUUUUUUUUCGAUGUAAUUUUUGCUCUUUCGUGUAUUUUUUAACGAAUAAGAAUAAUGUGUUAAAAGUUCAAUGUGAAUCGUAUCGUCGUGUGUUCGUGCAGACGUGCAAUUGUUAACCUACAGCAAUAAACUGUUUUUGGUGUGUCUUCACAAGCAACGCGAAACGAAAUUGCUAAAAAUUAAAACCGAGACGAAUCAGCAUAAGAAACCAACAAAAACAACGAACGACCAAACAAAAAGCAGAUCAGAACCAUAAAAAAACCAACAAAAGUCAACGUCAACGUUGACGCAGACAACAGUAUUCGUAUUCUCUCCCGUUUUUUUUUACUAACUUUUAUCAACAAUAAUAAAAGUGCGUGUGUUAUCUCUCGUUAAACCAAAAAGAAGAAGAGACUACAGCAACUAAGUUAGCAGUGAGCAGAGGAGCAGCAAACAACAACUCGCAACUCCCAAGCAGAGAGCCAAAAUAGCAGUCCGUCAAGAUGACGCAACCGUUACCCAUACGCUUUCAAGAGCAUUUACAGCUCACAAAUGUCGGCAUCAAUCCGAACUCCUUCUCAUUCAGCACGCUCACAAUGGAAUCGGAUAAGUUCAUUUGUGUGCGCGAGAAGACGAACGAUACCGCCCAGGUGGUCAUCAUUGAUAUGAACGACUCCUCGAAUCCGACGCGCCGUCCCAUAUCAGCGGACUCGGCCAUUAUGAAUCCGGCUAGCAAGGUGAUUGCGCUGAAAGCGCAAAAGACGCUGCAGAUUUUCAACAUUGAGAUGAAAUCGAAAAUGAAGGCGCACACGAUGAACGAGGAUGUGGUAUUCUGGAAAUGGAUAUCGCUCAAUACGCUCGCCCUGGUCACCGAGACGAGCGUCUUUCAUUGGUCGAUGGAGGGCGAUUCGAUGCCACAGAAAAUGUUCGAUAGACAUUCCUCGCUCAAUGGCUGUCAGAUAAUCAAUUACCGAUGCAAUGCCUCGCAGCAGUGGCUGCUCCUUGUUGGCAUUUCGGCGCUGCCCAGUCGUGUCGCUGGCGCCAUGCAAUUGUAUUCCGUCGAGCGUAAGGUGUCGCAGGCGAUUGAGGGUCAUGCCGCCAGCUUUGCCACCUUCAAGAUCGAGGGCAACAAGGAGCCGACAACGCUUUUCUGUUUUGCCGUACGCACCGCAACCGGUGGCAAGCUGCACAUCAUUGAGGUCGGCACACCGCCCAAUGGCAAUCAGCCGUUCCCGAAGAAGGCCGUCGAUGUAUUCUUUCCGCCGGAGGCGCAAAAUGAUUUUCCGGUAGCGAUGCAAGUUUCCGCCAAGUACGAUACCAUCUAUUUGAUAACCAAAUAUGGAUAUAUCCAUCUGUACGAUAUGGAAACGGCCACGUGCAUCUACAUGAAUCGCAUAUCGGCCGAUACGAUUUUUGUGACCGCACCGCACGAGGCCAGCGGCGGCAUCAUUGGCGUCAAUCGCAAGGGUCAAGUGCUGUCCGUGACCGUUGACGAGGAGCAAAUAAUACCCUAUAUUAAUACAGUUCUCCAAAAUCCCGAUCUCGCACUGCGCAUGGCUGUGCGCAACAAUUUGGCUGGUGCCGAGGAUCUGUUUGUUCGUAAAUUCAAUAAACUCUUUGGCGCCGGUCAAUAUGCCGAAGCCGCCAAGGUGGCUGCAUUGGCCCCAAAGGGCAUUCUGCGUACACCGCAAACGAUUCAACGUUUCCAGCAGGUGCAGACGCCGGCGGGCUCAACGACGCCGCCGCUAUUGCAAUACUUUGGCAUACUCCUGGAUCAGGGUAAACUGAACAAGUUCGAAUCGUUGGAACUGUGCCGUCCAGUGCUACUGCAGGGCAAAAAGCAGCUGUGCGAAAAGUGGCUGAAGGAGGAGAAGCUCGAGUGCAGCGAGGAAUUGGGUGAUCUUGUUAAGACAUCGGAUCUAACACUCGCUCUGUCCAUCUAUCUGCGCGCCAAUGUGCCCAACAAGGUGAUUCAAUGCUUUGCCGAAACGGGCCAAUUCCAAAAGAUCGUGCUCUACGCCAAGAAGGUUAACUAUACACCCGACUAUAUAUUCCUGUUGCGUUCCGUGAUGCGCAGCAAUCCGGAACAGGGCGCAGGCUUUGCCUCUAUGCUGGUCGCUGAGGAGGAGCCCCUGGCCGAUAUCAAUCAAAUUGUCGACAUCUUUAUGGAGCAUUCAAUGGUGCAACAAUGCACAGCCUUUUUACUGGACGCACUCAAGCAUAAUCGUCCCGCUGAGGGUGCCCUGCAGACGCGUCUGCUUGAAAUGAAUUUAAUGUCGGCGCCGCAGGUGGCGGAUGCCAUACUGGGCAACGCCAUGUUCACCCACUACGAUCGCGCCCACAUUGCCCAGCUGUGCGAGAAGGCCGGCCUAUUGCAGCGCGCUCUGGAACACUAUACGGAUCUGUAUGACAUCAAGCGUGCCGUUGUUCACACACAUAUGCUGAAUGCCGAAUGGCUGGUCAGUUUCUUUGGCACACUCUCCGUCGAGGAUUCGCUGGAGUGCCUGAAGGCCAUGCUAACGGCUAAUUUGCGCCAGAAUUUGCAGAUUUGCGUACAGAUUGCAACGAAAUAUCACGAGCAGCUGACAACCAAGGCGCUGAUUGAUCUGUUUGAGAGCUUUAAGAGCUACGACGGUCUCUUUUACUUUUUGAGCAGCAUUGUGAACUUCUCGCAGGAUCCAGAGGUGCAUUUCAAGUAUAUCCAGGCCGCCUGCAAGACCAACCAGAUCAAGGAGGUGGAGCGCAUCUGUCGCGAAUCCAAUUGCUAUAAUCCGGAGCGUGUCAAGAACUUCCUAAAGGAGGCCAAAUUGACAGAUCAAUUGCCGUUGAUAAUUGUCUGUGAUCGUUUCGAUUUUGUUCACGAUCUGGUGCUCUAUCUUUACCGAAACAAUCUCCAAAAAUAUAUUGAGAUCUAUGUGCAGAAGGUGAAUCCAUCGCGUUUGCCGGUUGUUGUUGGCGGUCUUUUGGAUGUCGAUUGCAGUGAGGAUAUUAUUAAGAACCUCAUAUUGGUUGUCAAAGGUCAAUUCUCAACGGAUGAGCUGGUUGAAGAGGUGGAGAAGCGCAAUCGCUUAAAAUUGCUGUUGCCCUGGCUGGAAUCGCGCGUCCACGAAGGUUGCGUUGAGCCGGCCACACACAAUGCCUUGGCCAAAAUCUACAUUGAUUCCAACAAUAAUCCGGAGCGUUUCCUCAAAGAGAAUCAAUACUAUGAUAGUCGCGUCGUUGGCCGCUAUUGUGAGAAGCGUGAUCCGCACUUGGCCUGUGUCGCCUACGAGCGUGGUCAAUGCGAUCGGGAGCUGAUCGCCGUUUGCAAUGAGAACUCGCUGUUCAAGAGCGAGGCACGCUAUCUGGUUGGACGUCGCGAUGCUGAACUGUGGGCUGAGGUCCUAUCGGAGGCCAAUCCCUACAAGCGUCAGCUCAUCGAUCAGGUGGUGCAGACAGCUCUGUCCGAGACACAGGAUCCGGAUGAUAUCUCUGUUACGGUCAAGGCAUUCAUGACCGCCGAUUUGCCCAAUGAGCUGAUCGAACUGCUCGAAAAGAUCAUACUGGACUCUUCGGUGUUUAGCGAUCAUCGCAAUCUACAGAAUCUGCUCAUCCUGACCGCCAUCAAGGCGGAUCGCACACGCGUCAUGGACUACAUCAACCGUUUGGACAACUACGAUGCACCAGACAUUGCCAACAUUGCGAUUAGCAAUCAAUUGUACGAAGAGGCGUUCGCCAUAUUCAAGAAGUUUGAUGUGAACACCUCGGCCAUCCAGGUUCUAAUCGAUCAGGUCAACAAUUUGGAGCGUGCCAACGAGUUUGCCGAGCGCUGUAACGAGCCGGCGGUAUGGUCACAGCUGGCCAAGGCUCAGCUGCAACAGGGCCUGGUCAAGGAGGCAAUCGAUUCCUAUAUCAAGGCAGAUGAUCCCAGUGCCUAUAUGGAUGUCGUUGAUGUUGCCAGCAAAGUGGAAUCGUGGGAUGAUCUGGUGCGAUACCUGCAAAUGGCACGCAAGAAGGCACGCGAAUCCUACAUUGAAAGCGAAUUGAUUUAUGCGUAUGCCCGCACCGGACGCCUGGCCGAUCUCGAGGAAUUCAUCUCGGGCCCCAAUCAUGCGGACAUACAAAAGAUUGGCGAUCGCUGUUUCAGCGAUGGCAUGUACGAUGCCGCCAAAUUGUUGUACAACAAUGUUAGCAACUUUGCCCGUUUGGCCAUUACGUUGGUCUAUCUGAAGGAGUUCCAGGGCGCUGUCGAUUCGGCACGCAAAGCCAACUCGACGCGCACCUGGAAGGAGGUCUGUUUUGCGUGUGUCGAUGCCGAAGAGUUUCGUUUGGCGCAAAUGUGCGGCCUGCAUAUUGUUGUACAUGCCGAUGAGCUCGAGGAUUUGAUUAACUAUUAUCAGAAUCGUGGCUAUUUCGAGGAGCUAAUUGCGCUGCUGGAAUCGGCGCUUGGUUUGGAGCGCGCACACAUGGGCAUGUUCAGCGAAUUGGCAAUACUCUAUUCCAAGUUUAAGCCAUCUAAGAUGCGCGAGCAUCUGGAGCUGUUCUGGUCGCGUGUCAAUAUACCGAAGGUAUUGCGUGCCGCCGAAUCGGCGCAUCUGUGGUCCGAGCUGGUCUUUCUCUAUGACAAGUAUGAGGAAUAUGAUAACGCUGUGCUCGCCAUGAUGGCCCAUCCGACGGAGGCGUGGCGCGAGGGCCACUUCAAGGACAUUAUCACCAAGGUGGCCAACAUUGAGCUGUACUACAAGGCCAUCGAAUUCUAUUUGGACUUUAAGCCGCUGCUCCUGAACGAUAUGCUACUCGUGCUAGCCCCACGCAUGGAUCACACCCGUGCCGUUAGCUAUUUCUCCAAGACGGGCUACCUGCCGCUGGUCAAACCAUAUUUGCGCUCCGUACAGUCGCUCAACAACAAGGCAAUCAACGAGGCGCUUAAUGGACUGCUCAUCGAUGAGGAGGAUUACCAGGGCUUGCGCAACUCCAUCGAUGGCUUUGACAACUUUGAUACCAUUGCGCUGGCGCAGAAGCUUGAGAAGCACGAGCUCACCGAAUUCCGUCGCAUUGCAGCCUAUCUCUACAAGGGCAACAACCGCUGGAAGCAGAGCGUUGAGCUGUGCAAAAAGGACAAACUGUACAAGGAUGCUAUGGAGUAUGCCGCCGAGUCUGGCAAACAGGAAAUUGCUGAGGAGCUGUUGGGCUGGUUCCUGGAGCGCAACGCACACGAUUGCUUUGCGGCAUGCCUAUAUCAGUGCUACGAUUUGCUGCGUCCCGAUGUCAUCCUGGAACUGGCAUGGAAACAUAAAAUCAUGGACUUUGCCAUGCCCUACUUGAUCCAGGUGCUGCGCGAGUAUACCACCAAGGUGGAUAAACUGGAGCUAAAUGAGGCGCAACGCGAGAAGGAGGACGACACAACGGAGCAUAAAAACAUAAUACAAAUGGAGCCGCAGCUGAUGAUAACAGCUGGUCCAGCAAUGGGCAUACCGCCCCAAUAUGCCACAAAUUAUCCACCUGGCGCGGCAGCAGCGGCUGCAGCAGCGGCAGGACGCAACAUGGGCUAUCCGUAUAUGUAGGCAUCUAACAACAACACAAUUGUAGCUGUAACAACAACAACAACAACAACAACAACAACAACAACCAGCAGCAACAGCAUCAACAACAACACCAUAAACAACAAAAACAUAAACAAUGACAACUGAAUGCCGCAUUCAUUAAUCCUUUGCAUGAGCGCCAAAACCGACCAAUUCAACAACAACAACAACAACAAAACACCAACACAACAACAACAACACGCGUAGUGAAAUAUGUAUACCCAUAUAUAUAUGUAUAUAUAUAUAUAUAUCCAUUUUUUUGUUCAUAAUGUUGAGCCACCAAAAAGUUGCCUUUGACAGAAACAAUAAUUCGGUACAAAAGCAAUUAAGCGAAUGCCUCAAAAUAGCUCCAACAACAACAACAACAACAACUUCGUCAGAGCGAACACGACAACAACAUAAGCUUAAAAGAAAAGGAGAAGAAUAACAAGAACAAAGAAACGUUUACGCUAACAACAAAAACUAGUGUUCAGCUAACAAAAUAAAAAAAAAUGGUCGUAGUUUAUUAUUAUUAUUAAAAUUAUUACAUUUUAAGCAUAAAAAAUAAACACAAAGAAAUCAUUAAAAAAACACCACACAUACACACAAAUACCCACACACAGACACGUAUAAAUAUAUAAACAUUAAUGCAAAUAUAAAUACAAAUUAAAUAAAUAAAAUUUAUUAAUUAUAAAUAAUAAAAAAAACAAUAUCGGAGAAUUAUAUACACGUGUAUAUGAUCAUAUGAUGCACGCAACAUCUAAUAAACAAAACGUAAAGCACUUUUGCAAUUAGCAAAAACAAAAAAAAAAAACAAA